rnacentral:rRNA from 1 species
UACGUAGGGGGCAAGCGUUGUCCGGAAUCAUUGGGCGUAAAGCGCGCGCAGGCGGCCUUUUAAGUCUGAUGUGAAAGCCCACGGCUCAACCGUGGAAGGUCAUUGGAAACUGAAAGGCUUGAGUACAGAAGAGGAAAGCGGAAUUCCACGUGUAGCGGUGAAAUGCGUAGAGAUGUGGAGGAACACCGAUGGCGAAGGCAGCCCCCUGGGCCAACACUGACGCUCAGGCACGAAAGCGUGGGGAGCAAACAGG